AGUGAACGCUGGCGGUAGGCCUAACACAUGCAAGUCGAACGGCAGCACAGUAAGAGCUUGCUCUUACGGGUGGCGAGUGGCGGACGGGUGAGGAAUACAUCGGAAUCUACUUUUUCGUGGGGGAUAACGUAGGGAAACUUACGCUAAUACCGCAUACGACCUACGGGUGAAAGCAGGGGAUCUUCGGACCUUGCGCGAUUGAAUGAGCCGAUGUCGGAUUAGCUAGUUGGCGGGGUAAGGGCCCACCAAGGCGACGAUCCGUAGCUGGUCUGAGAGGAUGAUCAGCCACACUGGAACUGAGACACGGUCCAGACUCCUACGGGAGGCAGCAGUGGGGAAUAUUGGACAAUGGGCGCAAGCCUGAUCCAGCCAUACCGCGUGGGUGAAGAAGGCCUUCGGGUUGUAAAGCCCUUUUGUUGGGAAAGAAAAGCAGCAGGAUAAUACCCCGCUGUUCUGACGGUACCCAAAGAAUAAGCACCGGCUAACUUCGUG
rnacentral:rRNA from 1 species